AAACCUUUGUUGUGCCUAUGACAUACGUAAUCCGAGAUGCAUCCUCUACUCUACAUGGGCGACAAGUUAGCAUGCAUGAGCUUCAGAACAUGCAGUGCUAAUAGCAAGUGUAAGGCCAAGAUAACAAUAUGUGUUCUUAUCAGAGACAACAGCAGUAGCAGUACCUGGGGUGACUGGAGAGAUCAAAUCAGCCUUUCCAGCGAGCUUGCCACACUGAGACAACCAGACAGGUGCAUGCACAGCUUCUCACCUACAGAUUAAUCCAGGUAUUGCAACAGAUUAAUUUUACCAUCACAUCAUCAGUUUCAAUCCCAAAUUAAUUGUUAAUCCAGGCAGAUUGUACUAUGAUUUUGAAGUGGUCAAAAGAUCAACGCAAGAAAGGCCUGCUGAGACAUAUAUGUUCUCUAAACAUAUAUGAGAAUAAUUCAUAUAUGUUUAGAGAACAUGUUUCAGCAGGUCUUUCUUGCAUUGAUAUAUGAAUCAUUCUUAUUGUCGUCUGCAUAAGUUCCUCAAAACCAAGAGGACUACAGAAAGCCGGAAAAUUAAAAAGGCUGAAUACGUCUGUCCACAAGGAAUAAAUCCCCUUCUGAAUCAUUCUUAUUUAUUUUUGGCUGUAUGGUCGCGUCGAAGAAAAUCAAAUAUAACCGAAAAGAUCACAAUUUCAAAUAUAAUACAUGCAUAAAGGUUAUAUGGCACUUUCACAGGAAACAAAUAAAGGUGGCUGAUUCACAAUAAGUCUUAUUCUAGUCAUGUGUACUCCCGUAUCCGAGAGAUAAGAAAUGCAAGAAGCAGCAGUCACCGCAUGAGAUGCCGAAAAUCAAACAGAUCAUGUGGUGGACCAGCACAAACUUUCAACUCAAUGUUCAGAGAGAAUAGAUUGCUACGAGCCUGAACAAUUGCGUGUCUGCAACUCAGGGCCCACUCUAUAUACUUAUAAUCAGUAGGACUGUAGGGCAUCAUUACCACCCACAUGAUCAAUUGGUAUCUCGUCGCGCAAGCACAAACAGAAAUGGACCAACUUUCAGGUGGUCCUUGGUCAUACAAGUCUCUUCUUGGCCACUAGUUGAAACAGGUCGGCAUGGCAGCCAUUUGUAAUGUCCAAGCACCCAAGACUAUACUGAUAGCCCAGAGAAAUCUAAUCAAGAUCAUUGCUUGCCCCUGCACUCUUGGAGCAUUACAUGUUCUAGUUCAUGGCUCUGUCCCUUGCCAACUUGUCAUGAUAGCUUGAUAGCUGCAACUGCACUACAUGAUGCUUCCCUCCACUCUCACCUAUAAAUCUACCAGCUUACUGACACCAUUUCAUCAUCAGUUCAUCCACAAGCCAACCACUACAACACCUAGCUGAAUCCCACCUGAUACAAAAGUUUCUCUGGACUUUCAGCCAAGAAACAAGGAGAAGAAGCCAUGGUCAGUGCCAAGAGGCUUGCCCAACUGGCUAAGAAGUGGCAGAGGAUGGCGGCCGUGGGGAGGAAGAGGCUUGCCCAGAGUACGGUGGUGAAAAGAGCCGCCGAGGAGUGUUACGCAACGACCUCAGUAGCGGUGAAGGGACACGCAGCGUGGUGUAAUACAGCCGAUGGGGGUCGGUUCAAGGUGCCACUGGCGUACCUCGGCACGGCGGUCUUCAUCAAGCUUCUGAGGAUGUCUCAGGGGGAGUUUGGGUUCGCGGGCAGCGACGACAGUCGCAUCGUGCUCCCUGCGAUGCUGUGGUUAUGGAAUACGCCAUGUGCUUGCUCAGGAGAGAUGCUUCCACGGAGGUGGUGAUGGCGUUCGUGAGUUCCAUUGCCAGGUCAUGCUGCUUUGACGGCAGUGUGGUGGCGCCACACGUAGGGUUUAGCCAGUAUGUAGCUGUUUACUAGCUUCUGAAGAGCGGCAGCUGGCUAGGAUCCUUGUUCCAGGCACCAUUUUUUGUUCAAUGGAAGAUGUAAAUACAAAGUUAGUAGAUUAGAAUAGGGAACAAAAAAUUGUGAUGCAAUUAGCAAAAUAUGCAGUUCAACUGUCUGUUUCAGAGUGGGUACUUCAGUAGCACAAUUAUAUUUGUGUGUUAACAAAUUCAGUCAAGGAGUACACCUAGAAACUACAACUAACGCAGUUCUGCACACAUUUUCUUUUAAAGAAUUUAGUGAAGAGAAAAGCAAACGCUGAUACAUUCAAGUACACACGGCAUAUGAUCAGAUAGCAGCUUAGACUUAGAUGAAAGAAAACUUCCAUUGAACAAAAAACUCAGCUGAAUAAUUAAUGGACACAUGCACAUUUAGCAAUUAUAUGAAAAUUAAAGCUAUGACAUAUACCUCUUAAAACAGGGUAUCUUCUUUUUAUUUAUUUCUGACUUGUGUGAAAAUGGGGGAAGCAACAGUGAAAUGCAAACCACGUUAGACUGAAAGUUUAGCAGCGACCAAUCACAACCAUAACGAGUUCCUGAUCAUUUAGUCCUACGUUUUCUUUUCCAGCCAGACAUCAAGUUCAGACCUUCAGAUAGAAGCAUGAUCAUUGACACUGAUGAUAUCUAAACCCGAUCCUUCCAUAACCUGAGUCACAGAACAGAACAUGGCCUUAUCCCUCACCAGCUUGUCACGCUGACAGAUGAUAUGAGAGAAAACCUAUGCUUUGAUGCUCCAAACAUUUGGCCCCAGCACAAUCUAAUCCAAAUUAAUCAUACAACACUGCAUCUGCUGAUCCCAUGGUCUUGUCCCCUGCCAUCUUUUCUGAUUACAACUACACUUCACUGUCACGAUGUCCUUCCUCUCAGCUAUAAAUUCAGCAGACGGCUAAGCUCAACAGCAUCACUUCAUCAACUCCACCACCAACAGGGCAUUAUAAAAUCUAGAUCCCACUUCUCCGAAUUUCUAGCUAAAAAAAAGACACGCAACCAACCAUGGUCAGUGCAAAGCAACUUCCUCAAUUGGCGAAUAAGUAGCAGAGAAUAGUAGUACUUAAGAGGAAGAGGCUGACAGCAACAGCCAAAGAAGAUGAAGAGUGCUGCACCUCAAUAGCGGUCAAGGGCCACUGUGUCAUGUACUCGGCCGAUGGGAGGCGCUUCGAGGUACAAUCAGUGUACCUCAGCACGCCAAUCUUCAGAGAGCUCCUGAGGAUGUCCAGAUCAGACUGCCUUGUGAUGCCGGAGUGAUGGAGUAUGUCAUGCGCUUGCUCAGCUGAAAUGCCUCUGCCGAGGUCG
rnacentral:lncRNA from 1 species